rnacentral:rRNA from 2 species
AGAGUUUGAUCAUGGCUCAGAUUGAACGCUGGCGGCAGGCCUAACACAUGCAAGUCGAGCGGUAGCACAGAGAGCUUGCUCUCGGGUGACGAGCGGCGGACGGGUGAGUAAUGUCUGGGAAACUGCCUGAUGGAGGGGGAUAACUACUGGAAACGGUAGCUAAUACCGCAUAAUGUCGCAAGACCAAAGUGGGGGACCUUCGGGCCUCAUGCCAUCAGAUGUGCCCAGAUGGGAUUAGCUAGUAGGUGGGGUAACGGCUCACCUAGGCGACGAUCCCUAGCUGGUCUGAGAGGAUGACCAGCCACACUGGAACUGAGACACGGUCCAGACUCCUACGGGAGGCAGCAGUGGGGAAUAUUGCACAAUGGGCGCAAGCCUGAUGCAGCCAUGCCGCGUGUGUGAAGAAGGCCUUCGGGUUGUAAAGCACUUUCAGCGGGGAGGAAGGCGAUAAGGUUAAUAACCUUGUCGAUUGACGUUACCCGCAGAAGAAGCACCGGCUAACUCCGUGCCAGCAGCCGCGGUAAUACGGAGGGUGCAAGCGUUAAUCGGAAUUACUGGGCGUAAAGCGCACGCAGGCGGUCUGUCAAGUCGGAUGUGAAAUCCCCGGGCUUAACCUGGGAACUGCAUUCGAAACUGGCAGGCUAGAGUCUUGUAGAGGGGGGUAGAAUUCCAGGUGUAGCGGUGAAAUGCGUAGAGAUCUGGAGGAAUACCGGUGGCGAAGGCGGCCCCCUGGACAAAGACUGACGCUCAGGUGCGAAAGCGUGGGGAGCAAACAGGAUUAGAUACCCUGGUAGUCCACGCCGUAAACGAUGUCGAUUUGGAGGUUGUGCCCUUGAGGCGUGGCUUCCGGAGCUAACGCGUUAAAUCGACCGCCUGGGGAGUACGGCCGCAAGGUUAAAACUCAAAUGAAUUGACGGGGGCCCGCACAAGCGGUGGAGCAUGUGGUUUAAUUCGAUGCAACGCGAAGAACCUUACCUGGUCUUGACAUCCACAGAACUUUCCAGAGAUGGAUUGGUGCCUUCGGGAACUGUGAGACAGGUGCUGCAUGGCUGUCGUCAGCUCGUGUUGUGAAAUGUUGGGUUAAGUCCCGCAACGAGCGCAACCCUUAUCCUUUGUUGCCAGCGGUCCGGCCGGGAACUCAAAGGAGACUGCCAGUGAUAAACUGGAGGAAGGUGGGGAUGACGUCAAGUCAUCAUGGCCCUUACGACCAGGGCUACACACGUGCUACAAUGGCAUAUACAAAGAGAAGCGACCUCGCGAGAGCAAGCGGACCUCAUAAAGUAUGUCGUAGUCCGGAUUGGAGUCUGCAACUCGACUCCAUGAAGUCGGAAUCGCUAGUAAUCGUAGAUCAGAAUGCUACGGUGAAUACGUUCCCGGGCCUUGUACACACCGCCCGUCACACCAUGGGAGUGGGUUGCAAAAGAAGUAGGUAGCUUAACCUUCGGGAGGGCGCUUACCACUUUGUGAUUCAUGACUGGGGUGAAGUCGUAACAAGGUAACCGUAGGGGAACCUGCGGUUGGAUCACCU